UACGUAGGGGCCCAGCGUUGUCCGGAUUCAUUGGGCGUAAAGCGCGCGCAGGCGGCCCGGUGUGCCGCCCGUGAAAUCCCCCGGCUCAACCGGGGGGGGUCGGGCGGGACUGCCGGGCUGGAGGCGGGUAGGGGAGAGCGGAAUUCCCGGUGUAGCGGUGAAAUGCGCAGAUAUCGGGAGGAACACCGGUGGCGAAGGCGGUUCUCUGGGCCUGACCUGACGCUGAGGAGCGAAAGCGUGGGGAGCGAACAGG
rnacentral:rRNA from 1 species